rnacentral:lncRNA from 1 species
UAGGGACCCCAGCAGUGAGACAGCUGCUUCAGUGUCUUUUCAGAGCUGGUCUGAGGUGAGUAGAAUGACUCUUUAUGUUUCAAAGCAAAUAAUGAAAGUUUUAGCAUGAUUCACGCAUCAUGAAUGCCAUGAGAUAUAUUAGGUUGUUUGCAUUAGAAUUCACGAAUAUGUUGCAUUGCAUAUUAUGUUGUUGAUGUAGAUGAGCGUUGAAUGAUCCAUUAGCCC